CCCCACCGGCGCUAACGGCCUCACCACCCCCAAGAUUGUCAACGGCGAGUACGGCUAUGUUCUAGAAGAUGUCCCUCAUUUGACCGAUUACCUUUCUGAUCUUCCUGUACGAUCUCCUCCACCGCCUUCCUUCUUCUAUUUUUUCUCGCCGCACCCCCCCCCCCCCCCGGCCUCACCCCCCGCGCCACCCCCAAGAUUGUCAACGGCGAGUACGGCUAUGUUCUAGAAGAUGUCCCUCAUUUGACCGAUUACCUUUCUGAUCUUCCUGUACGAUCUCCUCCACCGCCUUCAUUUUUUUGUUUGUUAAUUUAUUAGUAGCGAUUCAUCGGUAUUACAGCUCCGAUUGCCGAGAAAGUGGAUCCCCUUUCUGGUUAGCCUAUCUUUCCUUUCCAGCGGCUUGAUUCGAACUAUCACCUUUCCCGUUAUGGAUCUUGCGUGGUGAUGAAGAUUCUUUUUCCAAAUAUUAAUUAUUACUUUAUUUCAUUUUGGG
rnacentral:lncRNA from 1 species